AGUAGGAGCAUUCAGUCUAGUAGGAGAAGACCACUGCAUGUAAACAGAUCAGUCAGUGCUUUGGUUGGUUGAUGAAAAAACUACACACUGCUGGACAUCGGAUCCCAUAAUGGAGCUCGUUGCUUUCAAAAGUGUUGUACGGUUGCUGUUGACUGUCGUCACUU